rnacentral:rRNA from 1 species
UACGAAGGGGGCUAGCGUUGUUCGGAUUUACUGGGCGUAAAGCGCACGUAGGCGGAUCGUUAAGUCGGGGGUGAAAUCCUGGAGCUCAACUCCAGAACUGCCUUCGAUACUGGCGAUCUUGAGUCCGGAAGAGGUGAGUGGAACUCCUAGUGUAGAGGUGGAAUUCGUAGAUAUUAGGAAGAACACCAGUGGCGAAGGCGGCUCACUGGUCCGGUACUGACGCUGAGGUGCGAAAAGCCGGGUGGGAGCAAGAAGGG